rnacentral:rRNA from 1 species
ACUUUCGAUGGUAGGAUAGAGGCCUACCAUGGUGGUAACGGGUAACGGGGUGUUAGGGCACGACACCGGAGAGGGAGCCUGAGAAACGGCUACCACAUCCAAGGAUGGCAGCAGGCGCGCAAAUUACCCAAUCCCGACACGGGGAGGUAGUGACAAUAAAUAACAAUACGGGGUUCUUUCGGAUUUCGUAAUUGGAAUGAGUACAAUUUAAAUCUCUUAACGAGGAACAAUUGGAGGGCAAGUCUGGUGCCAGCAGCCGCGGUAAUUCCAGCUCCAAUAGCGUAUAUUAAAGUUGCUGCAGUUAAAAAGCUCGUAGUUGAAUUUCGGGACUGAUAUGUCGGUCGUGCCUCGGUACGUACUGGUAUUUUUGGUUUCUCCCUUCUGACGAACCUUGAUGUCAUUAAUUUGGUGUCUUGGGAAAUCAGGACUGUUACUUUGAAAAAAUUAGAGUGUUUAAAGCAGGCUCACGCUUGAAUACAUUAGCAUGGAAUAAUGAAAUAGGACGUUUGAUUCUAUUUUGUUGGUUUCUAGGAUCGACGUAAUGAUUAAUAGGGAUAGUUGGGGGCAUUAGUAUUCAAUUGUCAGAGGUGAAAUUCUUGGAUUUAUUGAAGACUAACUACUGCGAAAGCAUUUGCCAAGGAUGUUUUCAUUAAUCAAGAACGAAAGUUAGGGGAUCGAAGACGAUCAGAUACCGUCGUAGUCUUAACCAUAAACUAUGCCGACUAGGGAUCGGAUGAUGUUAAUUUUUUAAUGACUCAUUCGGCGCCUUACGGGAAACCAAAGUGUUUGGGUUC